UACGUAGGGGGCAAGCGUUGUCCGGAAUCAUUGGGCGUAAAGAGCGCGUAGGCGGCCCGAUAAGUCCGCUGUGAAAGUCAAGGGCUUAACCCUUGAAUGCCGGUGGAAACUGUCGGGCUAGAGUCCGGAAGAGGCGAGUGGAAUUCCUGGUGUAGCGGUGAAAUGCGUAGAUAUACGGAGGAACACCAGCGGCGAAGGCGGGUAGCUGGGCCAACACUGACGCUGAUGCGCGAAAGCCAGGGUAGCAAACGGG
rnacentral:rRNA from 1 species